GAUAACCGCUGAAAGCAUCUAAGCGGGAAGCCUCCCUCGAGAUGAGAUCUCACUAAUCUUCGGAUUUCUGUAGGGCCCUCGUAGACUACGAGGUUGAUAGGCAGGGUGUGUAAGCGCUGUGAGGCGUUGAGCUAACCUGUACUAAUUGCCCGUGAGGCUUGACCAU
rnacentral:rRNA from 1 species